rnacentral:rRNA from 1 species
UACGUAGGGGGCAAGCGUUGUCCGGAUUUAUUGGGCGUAAAGAGCUCGUAGGCGGUUUGUCGCGUCUGCCGUGAAAGUCCGGGGCUCAACUCCGGAUCUGCGGUGGGUACGGGCAGACUAGAGUGAUGUAGGGGAGACUGGAAUCCUGGUGUAGCGGUGAAAUGCGCAGAUAUCAGGAAGAACACCCGUGGCGAAGGCGGUUCUCUGGGACGGUACUGACGCUGAGACGCGAAAGCGUGGGAGCGAACAGG